CCUUCCCUUCAGCCAAGCCAGGCAGGAAAGGCUGUGGGCGCAAAGUGCCUCAGGGCCCCUCAGGGAAGGCGGCUAACGGCUGACUCUCUGCCCCCCCUCCCCUCCAUCCCCACGGGGGUGGCCGCCAUUUUUCCUCUACACAAAAUGGCCGCACGUGGUCCGGAUUCGUCGCCAACGAGAAAUUGGGCAGAUGAAUUCACUUAGGCACAGGGAGAUGACGUGAUUAACUCAAGGUCACAGUGUCAAGGAUGGAACCCAGACCACCUUAUUUCCUUAUGGGUACCUCUGGUGAUCCUGAGAUCUGGCAAAAAGGGCGCUGGACUACUCACUUCUUCAGACACCACCCAUUUUACAGAUGAAGCCACUGAGAUAAUGGAGCAACUGACUAGUCACCACCCCACCUCUGGAGCCUCACACAGGACUCUUCUCCUCCCACUUGAGUGACUGCAGGUGAGACAUGGUCUUGUCACUGUAACAUAAUAGUUGAGAAUGAGACUCUGGAGUCAGCCUUCUGGGGCGUGAAUUCUGACUCAGCCACUUACUGUAUGUCCUUGGAAUAUGGAGUUUGGUGGAGCACAGUUUUGGAAAGUGUGAACCUUUUCCCCAAAGGAAUGGGUGGCAAAUGGAGGAAUUCCAGGCGAAGGUAAUGUGACUAACAGUGAAAAAGAUUCUGUGGGGUUGGAAAUUUCUCCUUGCGUUCUUCAUUGAACAAAUCCACUGAACCACAUACUAUUUACCAGUCUCUGCUGGAGUCACACCAGUGUCUGACUGUUUACUGUGUGUCUGCAUAAGGCCAGUUCUGACCUGGAGUGGAGCCUAAGGUGAGGAGGAAGUAGAUAUUCUACAUUCUUUUUCCCACAUUUGGAUCCACUUCCCCUUUCCUCCAGCUGAAACAGGAAGUGGUGAGUGGGGUGAUGCCAUUAUGGCCACAGACAUCAUUAGCUUCUGGAUCCAAGGAAGGAGGGCUUCUGAGGCUUCUUUCCCCAUGUUUGACCUCUUCCAGGAUUUCUCAAGCACUCCUCCUACUCCAGGACUAUUUAUCUCAGCAUCAGUCUCAAGUCUCACUGCUCAGGAGUUCAGGAUUUUGACUUUACAUAUAGGGAUCUCUGCCAAGUGAGAUGGAGCUCAUUCUUAUGGAAAAACUGUGACGUUCUGUAUUUUCUACUUUUCCUCCUCUUCUAUAGCUCAUAGGAAGUCCGGAUUAUAAUAAUUUUUUCAACCUCUCAAUGAGAUAAACCCUGUUCUGUGGGCAGGAUGAUCUUGCAGGUGGAGAUCAAUUUGGUAGGGAGGGUGAUCAAGUGUCAGGAACUCAAGCUGGCAUAGGUGGUAACCAAAGAGGAAAUCAGUCACUUCCUUUGUGUGUGAUUCUCAACCAGUACAGACUGGAAGAAACUACUUGAAGCAGAUAGAAAUCUCUUAAGUUUUGUGACUAAGAAAUUACUAGGUCUCUUUGAGACCCUGAUGUAUAUGUCUUUACUGUCAUUAGUGAGAUCUUUGGUCAGCCAGUCUUGACUCAGUUGGCUGAGCUAAUCAUAAACAAAAUAGAUGGAAAGACUCAGCUUUUUAAAAUAUAUAUAUAUUU